rnacentral:lncRNA from 1 species
CUAGCAUAGGCUUAUAGUGAUGGACUUUGUUAUCAAGAAGGGCCAAAAAAGAAGGGGCAGGGAGGGUCGACCUAGAAUUAAGUAUGGUGGCUUGACCACGAUUAGUGAACUUGAUAUAGGAGAAAAGGUGGCAAGGAUGGGGGCGUGUGAGUGUAGGGGGUAUGGAUAAGAUGUGGGAUAGAACAACCUGUUGUAUGAAGGAGACUACUAGAGAGGUGUUGGGUGCUCGAGGGGCGGGUCUGGAAAG